rnacentral:rRNA from 1 species
CUUCUUUGCUGGCGACCGGCGCACGGGUGAGUAACACGUAUCCAACCUGCCCUUUACUCGGGGAUAGCCUUUCGAAAGAAAGAUUAAUACCCGAUAGUAUAAUGAUUCCGCAUGGUUUCAUUAUUAAAGGAUUCCGGUAAAGGAUGGGGAUGCGUUCCAUUAGGUUGUUGGUGAGGUAACGGCUCACCAAGCCUUCGAUGGAUAGGGGUUCUGAGAGGAAGGUCCCCCACAUUGGAACUGAGACACGGUCCAA